UAUUCUUUUUCCCAUAUUUUCUUUUCCAUAUUUUCUCCUUCCAUCUCAGCCUCAAUCUUCAAAAACCUUUAAAACCCUCUUCUCUCCAAUAACCAUUUUUCUUGCUCUAUAUUGUCCACUUCCGUAUCCAGUUGCUGCUCCAUCUUGCACUAAAAGCAAUAUGGUUGGAUGUGCGGUAAGACUGAAGAAGAGAAAGCCAGAGUGGCUGAAUACUUUGUUGGACAGCAAAUUUUUUGGUUCAUGUGCUGAUCACCAUGAUCUUAGGAAGAACGAAAAGAACAUUUUUUGUAUUGAUUGUAAUCUUGGCUUGUGCAAGCACUGUAUGUCUUCUUCUUCUCCUCAUUGCCUUCACCAAUGGUUUCAAAUCUGCAAAUAUGUCUAUCAUGAUGUUGUUCGCCUGCAAGACAUUCAGAAGCAUCUUGAUUGCUCCAAAAUUCAAACUUACAAAAUUAAUGGAGAAAAAGCAAUACACUUGAAUCCAAGGCCUCAAACUAAAGACAUCAAAAUUCAGAAA